rnacentral:rRNA from 1 species
UACGUAGGUGACCAGCGUUGUCCGGAUUUACUGGGCGUAAAGAGCGCGCAGGCGGUCGUUCAAGUCGAGUGUGAAAGCCCCCGGCUCAACUGGGGAGGGUCACUCGAUACUGAUCGACUUGAAAGGCAGGAGAGGGAAGCGGAAUUCCCGGUGUAGUGGUGAAAUGCGCAGAUAUCAGGAGGAACACCGGUGGCGAAGGCGGGUCUCUGGGCAACUACUGACGCUGAGGAGCGAAAGCGUGGGGAGCAAACAGG